GCCGGGCGUGGUGGCGCACACCUGUACUCCUAGUAGCUUGGGAGGCUGAGGCAGGAGGAUCCCAAGUUCAAAGCCAGUCUCAGCAACUUAGGGAGACCCUGUCUCUA
rnacentral:sRNA from 1 species